GCGGCCCAGCACUCAGAGCCGCCGGCGGCGCCACCCGCCCGGGGCAGUAAAGUAAGGCUUAGCACCCGGACCAGCAGCUGCGGAGGGUGCGCCCGGUCCCCCAGCAGUGCCGGCGGGCGCUCAAAUUCUCACCUGGCCUCAGCUGCCUCCCCUCGGGGCAGGGCUUGGGACCCGCAGCCCGCCAUGCCUGAGCCUCCCCCACGCCUGAGCCUCCCCCACGCUGUGGGCUCCUGCGCCAACGGCACCUCCCCGACAAGCAUCGCCCCCUGCUCCACGGCACCCAGUCCCAUCGACCACCCAAGGGCUGAGGAGUGCCGGCGCACCUGGCGGGACUGGCCUGCAACUCCGGCAGCUCCGGCAGCUCCGGCAGCUCCACAAGCUCCCCUGUGCGGGAUCCACUGGGUGAAGCCAGCUGGGCUCCUGAGUCUAGUGGAGACUUGGAGAACCUUUAUGUCUAGCUAAGGGAUUGUGAAUGCACCAGUCAGCGCUCUGUGUCUAGCUCAAGUAAAUCUUGCUGCUGCUCAGUUUUUGGGUCCACACUGCCUUUAUGAGCUACACUUAUCGUGAAGGUCUGCAGCUUCUCUCCUGAGGCCGGCGAGACCACGAAUCCACCGGGAGGAAUGAACAACUCCAGACGCACCGCCUUAAGAGCUGUAAUGCUCAACACAAAGGUCUGCUGCUUCACUCCUGAAGCCAGAGAGACCACAAACCCACCAGAAGGAAGAAACUCCGAACACAUCCAAGCAUCAGAAGGAACAAACUCUGGACACGCCACCUUUAAGAACUGUAACACUCACCACGAGGGUUCGUGGCUUCAUUGUUGAAGUCAGUGAGACCAAGAACCCACCAAUUCCAGACACACUAUGAGAGCAUAAAAUCAGUUUUGCCAGCACUCACACCUCAUCCGCAUCUAAGCAGCAAAUCAUGAGAAAAAAAAAUCACUAUUUAACAUCUUCCACAUCUCACAAUCACUAUGUUAGUUAGCAAUAUAUUGCCUCUUAUCUCAGAAUACACUUUUCAAUAUAUGCUCUGUGAUGGUAAAAUUUCCUUAAGCAUUUAUCCUUUAAAGUGAGCACAGUAUGAAGUUAUCUCAGUACAGGAAUGUAGGAAUAUUGCAGGAGGAAAAGUCUGCCCUGUAGUUUUCAGCAUGGGUCAGGGGUGAGUGGCAUGAGUGUGAGGUCAUCCAGUGAAGCACUGCCCCAGCUAUCGGCUGAGAAUGUAGUCCCUCUGUGACCUUUCCAGUCUCGCCUGGUGAUAACCUUUCCACAGCCUGGAAACCAGAGCCCCACCCAGACCUGUGCUCUAAAGGCCUCCUGCCAGGGCCUGUCCCAGGCCCCACUGUGAGCCCACACCCCCAGCUGCUGAUCCCCUGCUAAUCCCACUGACACUGCGGAAAGUUGUCUAUCACUUGCCGGCAACUCCUGCCAGCUCCAGGCUAACCAGUUGAGGGAACAUCUCUGCUAUCUAGUGGGCUGAACCAUUCCUUCUCUUACAAGAAGACCUGAAUCCAUUCUAAGUUUGUUGUUGUUUAUGCACAUUCCCUCAGCCCUAGCAUGCUGUAUAAUUUCCUUACAUCUCAUAGUUACUUUUUUAUCAUCCUUAAUUCUUUACAUGAAACAUCCCUUGUUUAGUCUACUGUGUUGUUUCUAUCUCCCGAUUAGACCCAGAAUGCUACAGUCACCAAUGUACUUUUAUAGCUAUACAAAUCAGGUAAAAAUUUCUGCCCCUUACCUCUCUUCCUCAUAAUCUCUUCCAACUCUGGGGGCACUAGAUCAGCUCUAUGAGGGGAAGGUGAAGGAAAAGCAGAAGAGAAAGUUGAUAAAAUAAAUCACAAACUCCCUGCCCCAUGGUAGUUUUCUUCAAUCACUGCAGGCUUGAUCCAAGAGAGAUUAAGGGGAGAAUAGAAGCUUCAGUUAAAUAAGCCUUGGGAAUUAUUAUAUAUGAUUGUAAAUUUCUUAGUACCUAAAGCUAACUGGAAAAGCAACUGGAUCUUCCUGAGACCUUAUCCAGGGAUAAGGAAGAAAGCAAGAGAGAAGGACCAAAGAGGCUAUGGUAAGAAAGAGAAACAUCACUUUGUACUUGCACUUUGCCAUACAAGCUUAUUCAAUAUAUUUGUUAAAUUAUUCUAUUCUGAGAUAAAGAUUUCACAGAACUAUUAAAAUUGUACUCCGCUACUCUAUAGA